rnacentral:ncRNA from 1 species
GGCCGAAUAUCCAAGGUUUCCAGGGUAAAGCUGAUCUUCCCUGGGAAAGUCGGGGCCUAAGGAGAGGCCGGAAGGCGCAUCCGAUGGACAGCAGGUGAAUAUUCCUGCACCCCCAUAGAGCAGAACUGCGGGGACGCAGUGGCAAAGCAUGGGCCGGGAAUGGAAAAACCGGUGCUGCAGGUUGGCCUGGCAGGGGAGAAAUACCCCUGCGGGAGGGCAGGCCUGCAGCGGAGCGAAAAUGAAGUAGCAAAGCAUGCGAAGCUGCUGCCGAGAAAAGCCGCUAUUGCCUUUAUGGGGCCCGUACCGCAAACCGACACAGGUGGAUGAGGAGAGGAUCCUAAGGCCGACGGGAGAAGCAUUGUCAAGGAACUCGGCAAAAUAGCCCCGUAACUUCGGGAGAAGGGGCGCCUGCGCAAGCAGGCCGCAGUGAACAGGCCCAGGCAACUGUUUAGCAAAAACACAGGUCUAUGCGAAACCGGAAGGUGAAGUAUAUGGGCUGACGCCUGCCCGGUGCUGGAAGGUUAAGAGGAGAGGUCAGCGCAAGCGAAGCUUUGAAUCCAAGCCCCAGUAAACGGCGGCCGUAACUAUAACGGUCCUAAGGUAGCGAAAUUCCUUGUCGGGUAAGUUCCGACCCGCACGAAAGGCGUAAUGAUCUGGGCACUGUCUCGACAAUGCACCCGGUGAAAUUGAAGUGCCAGUGAAGAUGCUGGCUACCCGCGCCAGGACGGAAAGACCCCAUGGAGCUUUACUCCAGUCUGGCACUGGGGCACGGCGUUGCACGUACAGGAUAGGUGGGAGGCAAGGAAUUAAGGGCGCCAGUCCUUAAGGAGCCGACGGUGGGAUACCACCCCUGCAGCGCUGGGGUUCUAACCGACCGCCGUUUCCGGCGGCGGGACAAUGCCAGGCGGGGAGUUUGACUGGGGCGGUCGCCUCCGAAAGGGUAUCGGAGGCGCUCAAAGGUUCCCUCAUGAUGGACGGAAACCAUCAGGAGAGCGCAAAGGCAGAAGGGAGCCUGACUGUGACACCGACGGGUGGAGCAGGUACGAAAGUAGGACUUAGUGAUCCGGUGGUAGAAAGUGGGAUUGCCAUCGCUCAACGGAUAAAAGCUACCCUGGGGAUAACAGGCUUAUCACUCCCAAGAGUUCACAUCGACGGAGUGGUUUGGCACCUCGAUGUCGGCUCAUCGCAUCCUGGGGCUGUAGCAGGUCCCAAGGGUUGGGCUGUUCGCCCAUUAAAGCGGUACGCGAGCUGGGUUCAGAACGUCGUGAGACAGUUCGGUCCCUAUCCGGCGCGGGCGGAGGAUGUCUGAGGGGGUCUGGCCUUAGUACGAGAGGACCGGGUUGGACGGGCCGCUGGUGCACCUGUUGGAGACCAUCUCCAUGGCAGGGUAGCCAAGCCCGGAAGGGAUAAGCGCUGAAGGCAUCUAAGCGCGAAGCCCGCCCCAAGAUGAGACAUCCCCCAAAAGGAUAAGACCCCUGGGAGAACACCAGGUAGAUAGGACAGGAGUGGAAGUGUGGCAACACAUGGAGCGGACUGUUACUAAUCGGUC